GCACCAUUCAAAACAAUCACAUUUAACUUAAUUUAGCUUUAAAAUCAAACAAUUUUACAUCUUAUGUAUCAAACAAACAUUCAAAUUGAAACUUAACACAGGUUAAACAUUCAUCUUUAAUCUACUGUGUACUGGGAAACAGAGCAGGCUGGAUGUGUGAUGGACUUAUACUGCAGUGUGAGUGAUUAUCAGUAUGAUGUGAUCAGACAACAAGAGAGACAUUAUUACCUGUUGACAGAACUACAGACACUGGUGAAGGACCUGCCCAGUUUGUUUCAGCAGCAUCUGUCAUGUACACUCAGUGAUCUGGCACAGGCGCUCAUGGACGGGACGGUGUAUGAAAUUGUUAAAGGGCUGCUGGAAAAACCUCUAUAACCAGAGAUAGAAACUGCACAGCCAACACAGAGGCUCUGGAUCAGUGAGUAAAAGACGAGCAGUGGACAAUGGAUGAGAGGAUCGUAGCUGAAAUGGAUCAGAAAGUUCUCGACCAGCGGAACAUGCUGGAGUACCUGGAUUUUACAUCACCAUCAACCCACAGGAAGUGAUGAUGCAGAUGAAUGUUCUGGAACUGAUACUGAAGCUGCAACAGAAGGAAUAGAAAGUCUACCUAAGAAUAGAAGAAUGCAACGAUUUGCACUCAAAUUAGUUCUGCUCGUGUUUCAUGAAUAAGGCCAAUUGCUGUGGAUGUUGUCCUGCAGGAGGAUGUUUUUUUUUAGUUUUUGGACAUUUAAAAGCAAUGAUGAUGUGUUGAAAAGGUCUAUAAAAUGACCAUGGAUGAGACGGAAGACUUGUGCCCACUUGAACUUUUAUUUUGAUGCUAAAUAUUGUUUUGUAAAUAACCGUCUGUUAUGAUUCCAGAAGCUAGUGAACACUGUAUUUAAAUAUGACAUUCUGUGUUUGUAGUCUUAUUAUGUGGAUGGUAUUUGCAUCAUUAUAUCAUGUGUUUUUUCUUCCCAAACGUUGACCUUUGACCUCUGCUGGCUACAUUCGUUUGAUGAAAUACUGGACUUAUAUUUGCAUUAUUGCUGUCAUUCAGCACUUACCUCAGUAACAUUAAUAACCAUGUCAUAUAAGUUUACAUUUCCAGGAAUGGUAGCUGAGAAUAAUAUUUUUUAUUUUAAACAAUGAGUUCAUUUCUGAGUGUGUUCAUUAUAUCAAUAAGAAUGCUGUGUUUUGUCAACCUUAUAGGAGUGUAGCUUAAGUAUAAUUGUAUUAAUAUUUAUAUAUUAUGUAAGUAUAUUACUAAUUAGAUGCUUGAAUACUUAAUCAGGUCCACUUGUGUGCCAUCAGUGUUGUGAAUGAGAUCUCAUCUACUUCACAUUUCAAAGCGGGUGUGCAAAACCAAAAUUUGUGCCCCAUGUAUUUGA